GAUGAACGCUGGCGGCGUGCCUAGUACAUGCAAGUCGAGCGAACAGAUGAGGAGCUUGCUCCUCUGACGUUAGCGGCGGACGGGUGAGUAACACGUGGAUAACCUACCUAUAAGACUGGGAUAACUUCGGGAAACCGGAGCUAAUACCGGAUAAUAUAUUGAACCGCAUGGUUCAAUAGUGAAAGACGGUUUUGCUUUCACUUAUAGAUGGAUCCGCGCCGCAUUAGCUAGUUGGUAAGGUAACGGCUUACCAAGGCAACGAUGCGUAGCCGACCUGAGAGGGUGAUCGGCCACACUGGAACUGAGACACGGUCCAGACUCCUACGGGAGGAAGCAGUAGGGAAUCUUCCGCAAUGGGCGAAAGCCUGACGGAGCAACGCCGCGUGAGUGAUGAAGGUCUUCGGAUCGGAAAACUCUGUUAUUAGGGAAGAACAAAUGUGUAAGUAACUAUGAACGUCUUGACGGUACCUAAUCAGAAAGCCACGGCUAACUACGUG
rnacentral:rRNA from 1 species